GACAGAGGGUGCAAACGUUGUUCGGAAUUACUGGGCGUAAAGCGCGUGUAGGCGGCUUGGCAAGUCGGAUGUGAAAGCCCUGGGCUUAACCCAGGAAGUGCACUCGAAACUGCCGAGCUUGAGUUCUGGAGAGGAAGGCGGAAUUCUCGGUGUAGAGGUGAAAUUCGUAGAUAUCGAGAGGAACACCGGUGGCGAAGGCGGCUUUCUGGACAGUGACUGACGCUGAGACGCGAAAGCGUGGGGAGCAAACAGG
rnacentral:rRNA from 1 species